CCAUGUGCACAGUGAUUCACAUCAACGAGCAGUUUACAGUUGGAACAAGAGGAAACAAGAGAGAGCACAGAGGAAGCCACAUACAGUAGGGCAUGAGCAGAACAUGCAGUAACCUGCAAUUAGGAUUGAAUCUGAGACCCUGGAGCUUUGCCAGUUUACACCACCUCUAUAAAUGCCAAAAUGGCAAGCUAUUUCAGCGCGUCCCCAAUGGCUCAGCGGCUCUUUGACUGACAGCUCGACAGGCUGCUUUUGGAGUGCUACCACAUGGACCGUGGGAGACGUAUUGAGAAGUCGGACUAACUUUUGGCACCCUGCAAUCCUCCCAUUUGAGAAGGAGCCCCUGUUCACACACUCCCUCCCUUCUGCCACACACACAGACUCAUAGACCCUCACGUAUGGCUCCACAUGGUCUCUGGGAGCGUGGCAGCGGUGUGCAGCGUCUCACACUCAAGGGGUGUGUCCCUUCGAAUGCCGGCAGAGCCAGGAGGCAGAGAGAGGGCUGCUGGGAAACAAUGGGCAAGACAUCUGUCAUGCAUGGCUGCACUCCCCUCCACUCACAAUGGAGCGAGGCGAGUGGCUAGUGGUGCUUUUCUUUUUUGGGCUUUCCUUUCCGGGGACAGCUCUGCACAGCACAAUGCUUCUUUUGUCCCCUCCCUGCUUUUGCCAACGUUUAACCCUUCAAACCUUUUUCUGCCUGGCUUUCUUUUUUUGUGCAGGAAAAUAAAAAACAAAAUGC